rnacentral:rRNA from 1 species
CGCGUAGGCGGUUUGCUAAGUCGAAUGUGAAAACUCUGGGCUUAACCCAGAGCCUGCAUUCAAUACUGGCAGGCUAGAGUUCUGGAGGGGAUAGCGGAAUUCCUGGUGUAGCGGUGAAAUGCGUAGAUAUCAGGAGGAACACCGGUGGCGAAGGCGGCUAUCUGGACAGAGUCUGACGCUGAUGCGCGAAAGCUAGGGGAGCAAACA